UACGUAGGGUGCAAGCGUUGUCCGGAAUUAUUGGGCGUAAAGAGCUCGUAGGCGGUUUGUUGCGUCGGCUGUGAAAUCCCGAGGCUCAACCUCGGGUCUGCAGUCGAUACGAGCAAACUAGAGUGUUGCAGGGGAGACUGGAAUUCCUGGUGUAGCGGUGAAGUGCGCAGAUAUCAGGAGGAACACCGGUGGCGAAGGCGGGUCUCUGGGCCACUACUGACGCUGAGAAGCGAAAGCAUGGGGAGCGAACAGG
rnacentral:rRNA from 1 species